AUUGAACGCUGGCGGCAUGCCUUACACAUGCAAGUCGAACGGCAGCGCGGGGCAACCUGGCGGCGAGUGGCGAACGGGUGAGUAAUAUAUCGGAACGUACCCUGGAGUGGAGGAUAACGUAGCGAAAGUUACGCUAAUAUCGCAUACGAACUAUGGAUGAAAGCAGGGGACCGCAAGGCCUUGUGCUCCUGGAGCGGCCGAUAUCUGAUUAGCUAGUUGGUGGGGUAAAGGCCUACCAAGGCAUCGAUCAGUAGCCGGACUGAGAGGACAACCAGCCACACUGGAACCGAGGCACGGUCCAGACUCAUACGGGAGGCAGCAGUGGGGAAUGUUGGACAAUGGGCGCAAGCCUGAUCCAGCAAUGCCGCGUGAAUGAAGAAGACCUUCGGGUUGUAAAGCUCUUAUGUCAGGGAAGAAACGGUUGGGGCUAAUAUCCUUCACUAAUGACGGUACCUGAAGAAUAAGCACCGGCUAACUACGUGCCAGCCGCCGCCGUAAAAC
rnacentral:rRNA from 1 species